GAAUCCUCCUAAAACACCAAGACAAACUAAGAAAGCACGGAAAAAUAAUUCAAAUGCAUACUACUUCAGAAAACGUUUUCAGCUCACGCAAUCUUUUCCAAGCAGUGACUUAUGAACAAAGUUCUUAAAUCAAAACAGAGUUGCAGUCAAAAUAGCCAGUUCUGUUAUAAAAUUUGUACUUUCAUUUAUAACUCACCAUUGAGUAAAUAAAACACGUACUUACUUGACAAAGUGCGCUCAUUUUCUCUUUAAACUCAUUUCUAUCCAAUUAAAAAACAAAACAUUAAAAUAAAGAACAAAAUACAGACACACAAACCUCCAGUCUAAAGUUAUUUAUUGUGCAAAACGAUGUCACAAUGUAGCACAACACUCACAAUCCAUGUACAUUUAACAUAUAGAAGUAAUUAGCACCUUCUGGCUGUUUA